rnacentral:tRNA from 1 species
UUUACCAUUUAGCUUAUAUAAAGUGUAGUAUUGAAGAUACUGAGAAGGGUUGGUAGUUUAUUUUGAAAACA